rnacentral:tRNA from 4 species
GGAGCGGUGGCUGAGUGGUCGAAAGCGCCGGUUUGCUAAAUCGGUGAUCCGGGCAACUGGAUCCGCAGGUUCGAAUCCUGUCCGCUCCGC